CAGGACCCCUGUUGUGGUUACAGAACUGCCUGAACAGAACAGCAGAUGACCGCGAGGAAGAAGGCUUGUCUCAGCCUGUACCACCUGUCCCUCUGACAGAGGAGAAUGAGGACACAAUGGAGAAAAGGAGCUUCCAGAGGUUACUACGGAAAAUAGGGGUUCGAGUACCAGCCGAUGAGCAGGGGGGAUUUAGGCGGCAACUCAGCUAUAUAAAAAUAUAUAUUUUUAUAUCAUUUUUGUUGUUGUUGUCUUACCCACAUUAAAUUGCAGGACUAAGUCCCAAAAGUAUUUACUUAGUUAAAAGAUGGAAUCCGCAAUAGGGGAAACUGACACUGUCGGCACCAUGGCCAUUAUCGUUUUUUUGUUGUUGAGCGGAGGUGAGUGUCGCAAUGCGCAUCCAAAAAUUGCAGUACAUAUUCUGCUGUUCUAUUUCGCGUGCGUUCAUUGAUGUCCGAGAGAAAAAACAGCAUUGCUUGCAGUCACUUUGUUGUUGUAUUAUCACAAACGGACGUGGCAGUUUCACGAUUAAGGAUUCCAACUUUAAGGCAAGAUGCAGCUUAUAUGAGGCACUCAACUUUGAAAAUGUUGCAUUUAUAAAAGGCAUUGAAGUGAUGUCUGUCUUUUUCAAAACUUCAGCAGGCUUUCCCAUAGACUACUGUAUAGGUAAUGUGUGUCUGAUGAUCGAUUAGGAGUCGUUCUGGAGUCGUUCUGGAGGAUCCCAGCCAAGAUAAACCAGUUAAGGGGAUCCCCGACGGCAGGGGGAGAGGGGUCGGAGUGGCCAUCCCCAAGGAGCCCCAUCCAGGAGCAGCCGCAGGUGGAGGCAGACUCCCAUGAGCAGAGAGCCCAGGCCCUCUGAGGCCUGCUGCUGGCCCACAAGAGGAAAUAGCCAUCUGCCUCAGCAGAACACAAAGAUGUCACACCUGUUGAGGAUAUAGAUUCAGACAGUGCACCUCAGAGAUCUUCAGAGAAUAAGAAGACCUCCAGCAAGAGAAGCAGAGUGCUGUUGUUGGACAGCGAUGAGGAUGGAGAUACUGUGCUUUAACCUAAUCAUAAAUCUAUUCCUGUUAGUUUUACCCACAAACUCCUUUGCCUUUGUUUGGCAAGAAUGACAAUGACUGGCGUUUGUUAAAGAAGAAACGGACUGGCAUCCAGGCUACAAAAUUAUUAAUACGACAUGUUUUGCUAACAUUGCUGUCUCCUCUCCUGACAGAGGUCUCCCUCACUCUGGACCUCGUGUCUGACAGGGACGCAGUGACUCAGUCACUCCGCCCCUGCCAAGGGCAGACGACAGAAGGUCUUGAUUGACGAUGAGCAAGAUGAUGAUUAGAGGAGAAGUCUUCAGUUUGAUUCAUUUUAUUUAUAUACAGCUUUUCCACUUAGGUGCUCAAUGUUUUACAUAGAAAGGGGGAAACUCACCUCAUCCUCCACCAAUCUGAGGAAUCCAGUUGGACCCAAUAUGAUUGAAGCAUCAUCUUACACAAUGCCUCUACAGGGCUGUAUGGGAACUGAGGAUGGGGAAACCUGGACCUUCACUUACCAAAUAUUUCUGAGAAGGCGGUAAACAAGUAUUAGAGAAAAUCCAAAGACCAGAGAGUGAGAUAGCUCCAGGUUUAUUGGAAACAUGAUGCAUUUGAUGGGCUUGUCAUUAUAUUCUUCAGUCUUUCUCUUCAGUAUUCAAUGUUCUGUAUGUCUUUCAAAGGUCUAGCCAAUACAGGGAUUGUACUGUCAAUGCCCAGGUUUUAGAAUAAAAAAAGAGAUGUUUCUUUCCAUGGAUUUGUCCCAAAUGGCACCCUAUUCCCUUUAUAGUGCACUACUUUGGAUCAGGGUCCAUACGGUGGAAAGUGGCAUUUUGAGGCAGUCCAUAUAAACUCAAUAUUGUAAUAAGCAGAUUACUGGUU